UACGUAGGGUGCAAGCGUUGUCCGGAAUUAUUGGGCGUAAAGAGCUCGUAGGCGGCUUGGCAAGUCGGGUGUGAAACCUCCAGGCUCAACCUGGAGACGCCACUCGAUACUGCCAUGGCUAGAGUCCGGUAGGGGACCACGGAAUUCCUGGUGUAGCGGUGAAAUGCGCAGAUAUCAGGAGGAACACCGGUGGCGAAGGCGGUGGUCUGGGCCGGCACUGACGCUGAGGAGCGAAAGCGUGGGUAGCAAACAGG
rnacentral:rRNA from 1 species